AUGUUUUCUGUAGCUCUGCUGCUGCUGCUGGCAGCUGGAUGUGUGAAGUGUGAACAGUUGACACAGCCAGCCUCUGUGACUGUGCAGCCAGGUCAGAGUCUGACCAUCACCUGUCAGGUCUCUUAUUCUGUUAGUGGCUACUGGACAGCCUGGAUCAGACAGCCUGCAGGGAAAGGACUGGAGUGGAUCGGUAGCGGAGCUGGAUCCACCAGAUUCUACAAAGAUUCACUGAAGAACCAGUUCAGUAUCGACUUAGACGCCUCUAACAACAGAGUGACUCUAAACGGACUGAAUAUGCAGCCUGCAGACACUGCAGUGUAUUACUGUGCCAGAGACCCGUUGCACAAGUCAGAGUAUGGAGUCCAUGCCUUCCAGUUCAGUCAUGAAAAGGCCCGGGGAGACACUCAGUCUGUCCUGCAGGGGAUCAGGCUUCACUUUCAACUGCUGUGUUAUGAGCUGGAUGAGACAACCUGCAGGAAAAGAACGGAAACGGCUAUUCCAACCCAAGCAAGAACACUUAUGCCAGCAGUGCGCGAGGCCGUGUAG